UACAGGGGGGGCAAGCGUUGUUCGGAAUUACUGGGCGUAAAGGGGUAGUAGGCGGCCAACUAAGUCCGACGUGAAAUCCCUCGGCUUAACCGGGGAACUGCGUCUGAUACUGGAUGGCUUGAGGUUGGGAGAGGGAUGCGGAAUUCCAGGUGUAGCGGUGAAAUGCGUAGAUAUCUGGAGGAACACCGGUGGCGAAGGCGGCAUCCUGGACCAAUUCUGACACUGAGGAGCGAAAGCCAGGGGAGCGAACGGG
rnacentral:rRNA from 1 species